AAGGAGGAGCGCUGGGAACCCGCGUUGGAGUGCGUUUCGGGGCGCGUGGAAACGCCCAGGAGAGCCAGGGGNAAACUUUCCAGGGCUUCAAAGAGGCGAAUUCCUUUGCUCUGAGCCCGAAAGUCCAACUCUUGCUUC
rnacentral:sRNA from 1 species